AUACGGAGGAUGCGAGCGUUAUCCGGAUUUAUUGGGUUUAAAGGGAGCGUAGGUGGGAUAUUAAGUCAGCCGUGAAAGUUUGGGGCUCAACCUUAAAAUUGCAGUUGAUACUGGUUUCCUUGAGUACGGUACAGGUGGGCGGAAUUCGUGGUGUAGCGGUGAAAUGCUUAGAUAUCACGAAGAACUCCGAUCGCGAAGGCAGCUCACCGGGCCGGAACUGACACUGAUGCUCGAAAGUGCGGAUAUCAAACAGGAUUAGAUACCCUGGUAGUCCGCACAGUAAACGAUGAAUACUCGCUGUUUGCGAUACACGGUAAGCGGCCAAGCGAAAGCGUUAAGUAUUCCCCCUGGGGAGUACGCCGGCAACGGUGAAACUCAAAGGAAUUGACGGGG
rnacentral:rRNA from 1 species